CUAGACUGCGGUGGAUACUACCAGGCUAGGGGGCGGGAGAGGUCGACGGUAGUCCUGGGGUAGGGGUGAAAUCCUAUAAUCCCGGGAGGACCACCAGUGGCGAAGGCGGUCGACUAGAACGCGCCCGACGGUGAUGGACGAAAGCUGGGGGAGCGAACCGGAUUAGAUACCCGGGUAGUCCCAGCUGUAAACGAUGCAGGCUAGGUGUUGGAACGGCUACGGGCCGUUCCGGUGCCGCAGGGAAGCUAUUAAGCCUGCCGCCUGGGAAGUACGGCCGCAAGGCUGAAACUUAAAGGAAUUGGCGGGGGAGCACCACAAGGGGUGAAGCCUGCGGUUUAAUUGGAGUCAACGCCGGGAAACUUACCGGGGAAGACAGCAGGAUGAAGGUCAGAUUGAAGGUCUUACUGGACAAGCUGAGAGGAGGUGCAUGGCCGUCGCCAGUUCGUGCCGUGAGGUGUCCUGUUAAGUCAGGCAACGAACGAGACCCUCACCCUUAGUUGCCAGCGGACCCCUACGGGGUGCCGGGCACACCAAGGGGACUGCCAUCGACAAGAUGGAGGAAGGAGGGGGCCACGG
rnacentral:rRNA from 1 species